UUAAGCGACUAAGCGUACACGGUGGAUGCCCUGGCAGUCAGAGGCGAUGAAGGACGUGCUAAUCUGCGAUAAGCGUCGGUAAGGUGAUAUGAACCGUUAUAACCGGCGAUUUCCGAAUGGGGAAACCCAGUGUGUUUCGACACACUAUCAUUAACUGAAUCCAUAGGUUAAUGAGGCGAACCGGGGGAACUGAAACAUCUAAGUACCCCGAGGAAAAGAAAUCAACCGAGAUUCCCCCAGUAGCGGCGAGCGAACGGGGAGCAGCCCAGAGCCUGAAUCAGUGUGUGUGUUAGUGGAAGCGUCUGGAAAGGCGCGCGAUACAGGGUGACAGCCCCGUACACAAAAAUGCACAUGCUGUGAGCUCGAUGAGUAGGGCGGGACACGUGGUAUCCUGUCUGAAUAUGGGGGGACCAUCCUCCAAGGCUAAAUACUCCUGACUGACCGAUAGUGAACCAGUACCGUGAGGGAAAGGCGAAAAGAACCCCGGCGAGGGGAGUGAAAAAGAACCUGAAACCGUGUACGUACAAGCAGUGGGAGCACGCUUCGGCGUGUGACUGCGUACCUUUUGUAUAAUGGGUCAGCGACUUAUAUUCUGUAGCAAGGUUAACCGAAUAGGGGAGCCGAAGGGAAACCGAGUCUUAACUGGGCGUUAAGUUGCAGGGUAUAGACCCGAAACCCGGUGAUCUAGCCAUGGGCAGGUUGAAGGUUGGGUAACACUAACUGGAGGACCGAACCGACUAAUGUUGAAAAAUUAGCGGAUGACUUGUGGCUGGGGGUGAAAGGCCAAUCAAACCGGGAGAUAGCUGGUUCUCCCCGAAAGCUAUUUAGGUAGCGCCUCGUGAAUUCAUCUCCGGGGGUAGAGCACUGUUUCGGCAAGGGGGUCAUCCCGACUUACCAACCCGAUGCAAACUGCGAAUACCGGAGAAUGUUAUCACGGGAGACACACGGCGGGUGCUAACGUCCGUCGUGAAGAGGGAAACAACCCAGACCGCCAGCUAAGGUCCCAAAGUCAUGGUUAAGUGGGAAACGAUGUGGGAAGGCCCAGACAGCCAGGAUGUUGGCUUAGAAGCAGCCAUCAUUUAAAGAAAGCGUAAUAGCUCACUGGUCGAGUCGGCCUGCGCGGAAGAUGUAACGGGGCUAAACCAUGCACCGAAGCUGCGGCAGCGACGCUGAUGCGUUGUUGGGUAGGGGAGCGUUCUGUAAGCCUGUGAAGGUGUGCUGUGAGGCAUGCUGGAGGUAUCAGAAGUGCGAAUGCUGACAUAAGUAACGAUAAAGCGGGUGAAAAGCCCGCUCGCCGGAAGACCAAGGGUUCCUGUCCAACGUUAAUCGGGGCAGGGUGAGUCGACCCCUAAGGCGAGGCCGAAAGGCGUAGUCGAUGGGAAACAGGUUAAUAUUCCUGUACUUGGUGUUACUGCGAAGGGGGGACGGAGAAGGCUAUGUUGGCCGGGCGACGGUUGUCCCGGUUUAAGCGUGUAGGCUGGUUUUCCAGGCAAAUCCGGAAAAUCAAGGCUGAGGCGUGAUGACGAGGCACUACGGUGCUGAAGCAACAAAUGCCCUGCUUCCAGGAAAAGCCUCUAAGCAUCAGGUAACAUCAAAUCGUACCCCAAACCGACACAGGUGGUCAGGUAGAGAAUACCAAGGCGCUUGAGAGAACUCGGGUGAAGGAACUAGGCAAAAUGGUGCCGUAACUUCGGGAGAAGGCACGCUGAUAUGUAGGUGAAGUCCCUCGCGGAUGGAGCUGAAAUCAGUCGAAGAUACCAGCUGGCUGCAACUGUUUAUUAAAAACACAGCACUGUGCAAACACGAAAGUGGACGUAUACGGUGUGACGCCUGCCCGGUGCCGGAAGGUUAAUUGAUGGGGUYAGCGCAAGCGAAGCUCUUGAUCGAAGCCCCGGUAAACGGCGGCCGUAACUAUAACGGUCCUAAGGUAGCGAAAUUCCUUGUCGGGUAAGUUCCGACCUGCACGAAUGGCGUAAUGAUGGCCAGGCUGUCUCCACCCGAGACUCAGUGAAAUUGAACUCGCUGUGAAGAUGCAGUGUACCCGCGGCAAGACGGAAAGACCCCGUGAACCUUUACUAUAGCUUGACACUGAACAUUGAGCCUUGAUGUGUAGGAUAGGUGGGAGGCUUUGAAGUGUGGACGCCAGUCUGCAUGGAGCCGACCUUGAAAUACCACCCUUUAAUGUUUGAUGUUCUAACGUUGACCCGUAAUCCGGGUUGCGGACAGUGUCUGGUGGGUAGUUUGACUGGGGCGGUCUCCUCCUAAAGAGUAACGGAGGAGCACGAAGGUUGGCUAAUCCUGGUCGGACAUCAGGAGGUUAGUGCAAUGGCAUAAGCCAGCUUGACUGCGAGCGUGACGGCGCGAGCAGGUGCGAAAGCAGGUCAUAGUGAUCCGGUGGUUCUGAAUGGAAGGGCCAUCGCUCAACGGAUAAAAGGUACUCCGGGGAUAACAGGCUGAUACCGCCCAAGAGUUCAUAUCGACGGCGGUGUUUGGCACCUCGAUGUCGGCUCAUCACAUCCUGGGGCUGAAGUAGGUCCCAAGGGUAUGGCUGUUCGCCAUUUAAAGUGGUACGCGAGCUGGGUUUAGAACGUCGUGAGACAGUUCGGUCCCUAUCUGCCGUGGGCGCUGGAGAACUGAGGGGGGCUGCUCCUAGUACGAGAGGACCGGAGUGGACGCAUCACUGGUGUUCGGGUUGUCAUGCCAAUGGCACUGCCCGGUAGCUAAAUGCGGAAGAGAUAAGUGCUGAAAGCAUCUAAGCACGAAACUUGCCCCGAGAUGAGUUCUCCCUGACNGUGGACGCAUCACUGGUGUUCGGGUUGUCAUGCCAAUGGCACUGCCCGGUAGCUAAAUGCGGAAGAGAUAAGUGCUGAAAGCAUCUAAGCACGAAACUUGCCCCG
rnacentral:rRNA from 1 species